GGGCUCGUGGCGCAGUGGUUCAGCGCGCCCGUCUCCGGAACGGGAGGACGUCGGUUCGAACCCGACCUGGCUCG
rnacentral:tRNA from 1 species